ACUUAAAUUGAAGAGUUUGAUCAUGGCUCAGAUUGAACGCUGGCGGCAGGCCUAACACAUGCAAGUCGAGCGGUAGCACAGAGAGCUUGCUCUCGGGUGACGAGCGGCGGACGGGUGAGUAAUGUCUGGGAAACUGCCUGAUGGAGGGGGAUAACUACUGGAAACGGUAGCUAAUACCGCAUAACGUCGCAAGACCAAAGUGGGGGACCUUCGGGCCUCAUGCCAUCAGAUGUGCCCAGAUGGGAUUAGCUAGUAGGUGGGGUAACGGCUCACCUAGGCGACGAUCCCUAGCUGGUCUGAGAGGAUGACCAGCCACACUGGAACUGAGACACGGUCCAGACUCCUACGGGAGGCAGCAGUGGGGAAUAUUGCACAAUGGGCGCAAGCCUGAUGCAGCCAUGCCGCGUGUGUGAAGAAGGCCUUCGGGUUGUAAAGCACUUUCAGCGGGGAGGAAGGCGGUGAGGUUAAUAACCUCAUCGAUUGACGUUACCCGCAGAAGAAGCACCGGCUAACUCCGUGCCAGCAGCCGCGGUAAUACGGAGGGUGCAAGCGUUAAUCGGAAUUACUGGGCGUAAAGCGCACGCAGGCGGUCUGUCAAGUCGGAUGUGAAAUCCCCGGGCUCAACCUGGGAACUGCAUUCGAAACUGGCAGGCUAGAGUCUUGUAGAGGGGGGUAGAAUUCCAGGUGUAGCGGUGAAAUGCGUAGAGAUCUGGAGGAAUACCGGUGGCGAAGGCGGCCCCCUGGACAAAGACUGACGCUCAGGUGCGAAAGCGUGGGGAGCAAACAGGAUUAGAUACCCUGGUAGUCCACGCCGUAAACGAUGUCGAUUUGGAGGUUGUGCCCUUGAGGCGUGGCUUCCGGAGCUAACGCGUUAAAUCGACCGCCUGGGGAGUACGGCCGCAAGGUUAAAACUCAAAUGAAUUGACGGGGGCCCGCACAAGCGGUGGAGCAUGUGGUUUAAUUCGAUGCAACGCGAAGAACCUUACCUGGUCUUGACAUCCACAGAACUUAGCAGAGAUGCUUUGGUGCCUUCGGGAACUGUGAGACAGGUGCUGCAUGGCUGUCGUCAGCUCGUGUUGUGAAAUGUUGGGUUAAGUCCCGCAACGAGCGCAACCCUUAUCCUUUGUUGCCAGCGGUUCGGCCGGGAACUCAAAGGAGACUGCCAGUGAUAAACUGGAGGAAGGUGGGGAUGACGUCAAGUCAUCAUGGCCCUUACGACCAGGGCUACACACGUGCUACAAUGGCAUAUACAAAGAGAAGCGACCUCGCGAGAGCAAGCGGACCUCAUAAAGUAUGUCGUAGUCCGGAUUGGAGUCUGCAACUCGACUCCAUGAAGUCGGAAUCGCUAGUAAUCGUAGAUCAGAAUGCUACGGUGAAUACGUUCCCGGGCCUUGUACACACCGCCCGUCACACCAUGGGAGUGGGUUGCAAAAGAAGUAGGUAGCUUAACCUUCGGGAGGGCGCUUACCACUUUGUGAUUCAUGACUGGGGUGAAGUCGUAACAAGGUAACCGUAGGGGAACCUGCGGUUGGAUCACCUCCUUACCUUAAAGAA
rnacentral:rRNA from 1 species